rnacentral:rRNA from 1 species
AGAGUUUGAUCAUGGCUCAGGAUGAACGCUAGCUACAGGCUUAACACAUGCAAGUCGAGGGGAAACGACAUCGAAAGCUUGCUUUUGAUGGGCGUCGACCGGCGCACGGGUGAGUAACGCGUAUCCAGCCUGCCCAUCACUUGGGGAUAACCUUGCGAAAGUAAGACUAAUACCCAAUGACGUCUCUAGAAGACAUCUGAAAGAGAUUAAAGAUUUAUCGGCGAUGGAUGGGGAUGCGUCUGAUUAGCUUGUGGCGGGGUGACGGCCACAAGGCGACGAUCAGUAGGGGUUCUGGGAGGAAGGUCCCCCANAUUGGGAACUGAGACACGGUCCAAACUCCUACGGGAGGCCA